rnacentral:lncRNA from 1 species
CCCCCCCCCAGACGAUCCUGCAGGUGUAGAAGCCAGAUGUGGAGGUCCUGAGGAGGCGUGGUUACAGGUGGUCUGCGGUUGUGAGGCCAGUUGGACGUACUACCAAAUUCUCUAAAACAAUGUUGGAGGCAGCUUAUGGUAGAGAAAUAAACAUUUUAUUCUCUGGCAACAGCUCUGGUGGACAUUCCUGCAGUCAGCAUGCCAAUUGCACGCUUCCUCAACACUUUUGACAUCUGUGGCAUUGUGUUGUGUGACAUCACUGCACAUUUUAAAGUGGUCUUUUAUUGUCCCCAGCACAAGGUGCACCUGUGUAAUGAUCAUGCUGUUUAAUCAGCUUAUUGAUAUGCCACACCUGUCAGGUGGAUGGAUUAUCUUCACAAAGGAGAAAUGCUCACUAACAGGGAUGUAAACUAAUUUGUGCACAUUUAUUUGAGAGAAAUAAGCUUUUUGUGCAUAUGGAACAUUUCCGGGAUUUAUUUCAGCUCAUGAAACAUGGUCCCAACACUACAUGUUGCAUUUAUAUUUUCAUUCAGUGUAGUUGCGCAGGCAGAGGGCCAACCUGUCAUUACAAGUAAUGGGGCUGAAGUAAAGAAGCCACAAUGCCUUUCCAAUCCCCAGCCUGCAAUGGCUACAUGCUAACUCCAGGUAAUCUCUCAAUGCCUCUGACGCACACUACACUGUACAGUGUAAGGAGAGAGGCUAGUGAUAAAGUGAGCCUGAAUGGCAGAAGGAUUUAAGUUAUUGUUGAUGGCAUUGUCAGGGAGGUCAAGAGCACAUAUGCAUAUAGACUAUUUCUCUCUCUAUUUACAUGUCAGUCAUUUAGCAGAGGCUCUUAUCCAGAGUGACUUACAGUAGUGAGUGCAUAAAUGUUGGUCGCCAUGGGAAUCGAACCCACAACCCUGGCAUUGCAAGAGCCAUCCAUGCUCUACCAACUCAGCUACACUCUCCUCUCUCUCAUUCACUCUCUGAGACACACACACACACACGCACACACAGGGUAGAAUUACACUCCAAUCUGGCGCUAACGACGGUAGUAAUUAACCACAUUCUGAGUCUCCUCUGACAUCACUGAUCCUGUUUUUCUUACGCCCCCCCCAUCCCAUGUGGUACGCCAGUGAAGCACGCACACAUUAAAUAUGCAGUCGAUGAAUCAUCCAUGUGUUGAGCUGUACUGUGAUAUAGAGAGCAUUCUCAGUCUAUGCUGGGCUAGUUGGUCCCUGCAUUAAAAACCAGCCUGACAUUUACAGAGCGGCAGAUCACUGACAUGGACAUAGAGAGAGGAAGGGAAGGAUAUGACAAACUAAUAUCAAGAUAAAAGACACACACAUUCUCUCUCUCUCUCUCUCUCUCUCUCUCAAUUCAAUUUACUUUAUUGGCAUGACGUAACAAUGCACAUACUGCCUAAGCUUACUUUGGAGAUUUAUUAUAUUAACAUAAUUAAUAAUAAUAAUCAAUAUUGUCAAUGGGACAACAGUAACAACAAUAAUCAAGGGUCAAAAUAACCAUACAUUGAACAGUAACAAUAAGCAUAGAGGACAUGUUGGUCUGUCAGACACUGUCCCUCAUCUUAUGGCAGGCAGAAAUGUAGUGCGCUGCCAACCCACAGCUCUCUGCGUCCUCUCCCAACAGGACGGGUAGCCUACUUUCAUCAGAGAGGUCUUUAAAACCUUGUUUCAAAUUUGCGGAAAUUACACUCUCUAAUUGUUUUAUAUUUUUUAACAUUUUGUCAGGAAAUGCAGCUCCGUCUCAGGUUCUGCUGUGAUGCAGUGGUUGCCCAGCCUUUCCUCUACAGGAAGCCAGGUUUUCCUGUGUCUACCCUUCUCAAUGGCAAGGCUGUGCUCACUGAGCCUGUACUUCUUCAAGGUUUUUCUAAGGUUUUGAUCAGUAACCAUGGUCAAAUAGUUUGCCACGGUGUAUUGUCGAUUUAGCGCCAGAUAGCACUGCAUUUUGCUUUGUGCUUGUGCUUCCCAAUAAGUAAUGUAGUUUUGUUUUGACUGUUGUAAUUUGGUUUGAUCUGACGGCACAAUGACCUCUCUGUAGCCUGUGGGACAGUGAGUGACAAUGUCAGCCUUACACCAUGUCUCCUGCAGAAUGAUGACGUCAACAUAAUUCAGAUUUUUGUUUUACUCCAGUGCUAAACUCUUCAGUCCAAAGGUUGAUGAGUUUAGGCCCUGAAUGUUCCACAUGCUAACUGAUAGGUUGAUGAGUUUAGGCCCUGAAUGUUCCACAUGCUAACUGAUAGGUUGAUGAGUUUAGGCCCUGAAUGUUCCACAUGCUAACUGAUAGGUUGAUGAGUUUAGGCCCUGAAUGUUCCACAUGCUAACAUGUUAAUAACAUGUUAAUUCCACAUGCUAAUUUCAUGUUGCAAAAAGAAAGAAUAGCACAGUCAAAAAUAUAGUAACUACUGAGUUGUUCAGAGUGAGAUAAACAGGAUAACAGCAAACAUUUGUUCUGUUAUAUAUAUAUAUAUAUAUAUCAAUUCAAUUUAAGGGGCUUUAUUGGCAUGGGAAACUUUACAUUGCCAAAGCCAGUGAAAUAGAUAAUAAACAAAAGUGCAAUAAACAAAAAAAAGUACAGAAAACAUUACUCUCAAUAAAAGCACAUAGUGAUGAUUCCCUGGCCUGAUUACUGAUUCAGUGUGUACGUGUGUUGUGUAUGUGAUUCCCAUGAGUGGCAGUGGCAGAGAGAGAGACAUUUGAAAUGUCUUUAUUCUUUUGGAACUUUUGUGAGUGUAAACAAUGAGAAGGUUUGAUGAUGUUUCCUGUUAGGAGUUAAGGUCUAUUGGUGUGUUGAUCCUCUACAGACAAUGCUUUGAUAAUGUGUGAUAUGAGGCCAGCUUUCAGAACAGCUUCCUUAUAUAAUGACCUCUGCACCUUAUCAGGUGGUAUUAUGUACUGCUCUGCAUCACACACACACACACACACACACACACACACCUGCCUCUGCUCUACACUAAUUGACGUUGGCCUCGAGAGGAUGGAUCUGUGACACAGAGAGACUCGAUAACUGAGCGUCUGAAAAUGAUACCUGUAUGUGUUUGUGUGUGUGUGUGUGUGUGGUGUGUGGUGCGUGUGCGCGUGCGUGUGUGUGUGACUGCUGCAGUGAGAUGAUGUAAUGGUUGUAGUAGCACGCUUGCACAGUUGUUGAGUUUUCCAGCAAUACUCCCAUUAAUUUCCUUUGAUGAACAUCCUUCGUGCAAAUUACAGUGCAUCCCACUGAUUGUGGUAGCGUUGUGCACCACGUACAUACAUAUACAUGUGUAAUGUACAUGUGUAAUGUAUAUGUACAAAGCAUGCGUAACUGUUCUUGUCCACCCUCCUUCCCUUCCUCCCUCUCUCUCUUUCUCUCACCCUCUGGUUUUCUGGUGUGUGGAGCUGUGACUGAACACCUGACUCACAGGUGAUGAUAAAGGUGUUAAGAGGAGAAAUAAAGACCGUUGGAUAGAGAGAAAGAAAGAGUGAGAGAGAGAAAGAGAAAGAGAGAGAGAGUGAAAGAACAAGAGAUAGAGAGAGGUGCAUUACCCCAUGCAAAGAUUGACCUGAACACAACGCCACCCAUUGGUCUGCCACAUCAAAAUACCAACAACAACAACACACAGCUCAAACUCACCAGAGAGGGACCUGUUGCUCUGGCAGGUCAUGUAUCACCAUGACCCCCUCCUUUCUUUUGGCUUCUCUCUUUUUCUAUCCUUUUGGCCUUUGUUGUUGGUUUGGUUCAUGAUGGUGAUACUGUGCAUUGCACCCCUUUAUUGGUAAGACAAUAGAGACUGAAGGUGUAGGUGAAUAAGUUGACACUUCUUUGUAGCAGAGCUUCUCUCGCUCUCUCUCUCUCUCUCUCUCUCUCUCGGGAUCUUUAGAAAGAAAGGAAGGUAAAAAAAGACAAAAUGUGUGAAUUAAAACACCAGCAGGGAGGUGUGGCGUGAGGGACAAAGGGAUGGUAGAAGAGGAGAAAAACAACAGUGGAAGCAGGAGAAGAGAGGCUGAUGAAUGUUCCCCCCCACUGUGUGUUCAGUCUGCAAGGAUAUAUAGGUCAUUCAUACAGUUCGUUGUUAUCCUGUCAUUUUCUCUCUCCCCUUCUCAAAUCAAAUCAAAUCAAAUUGUAUUGGUCACACACAUGGUUAGC